rnacentral:rRNA from 1 species
CCUAAUACAUGCAAGUCGAACGAAUCUCUUUUAGAGAUGAGUGGCGAACGGGUGAGUAAUACAUAGGUAACCUGCCCCUGUGCGGGGGAUAACAGGAGGAAACUCCUGCUAAUACCGCAUAGCCAUGAGCACCGCAUGGAGCUCAUGCCAAAUAUCCUUUAUGGGAUAGCGCAGGGAUGGACCUAUGGCGCAUUAGCUGGUUGGCGGGGCAACGGCCCACCAAGGCAACGAUGCGUAGCCGGCCUGAGAGGGCGGACGGCCACAUUGGGACUGAGACACGGCCCAGACUCCUACGGGAGGCAGCAGUAGGGAAUUUUCGGCAAUGGGGGAAACCCUGACCGAGCAACGCCGCGUGAGCGAAGAAGGCCUUCGGGUCGUAAAGCUCUGUUGUAAAGGAAGAACGGCGCAUACAGGAAAUGGUAUGCGAGUGACGGUACUUUACCAGAAAGCCACGGCUAACUACGUGCCAGCAGCCGCGGUAAUACGUAGGUGGCGAGCGUUAUCCGGAAUCAUUGGGCGUAAAGAGGGAGCAGGCGGCCGCAAGGGUCUGUGGUGAAAGACCGAAGCUAAACUUCGGUAAGCCAUGGAAACCGGGCGGCUAGAGUGCGGAAGAGGAUCGUGGAAUUCCAUGUGUAGCGGUGAAAUGCGUAGAUAUAUGGAGGAACACCAGUGGCGAAGGCGACGGUCUGGGCCGCAACUGACGCUCAUUCCCGAAAGCGUGGGGAGCAAAUAGGAUUAGAUACCCUAGUAGUCCACGCCGUAAACGAUGGUCACUAAGUGUCGGGGGUCAAACCCCGGUGCUGCAGUCAACGCAAUAAGUGACCCGCCUGAGUAGUACGUUCGCAAGAAUGAAACUCAAAGGAAUUGACG